UACGAAGGGUGCAAGCGUUACUCGGAAUUACUGGGCGUAAAGCGUGCGUAGGUGGUCUGUUAAGUCUGAUGUGAAAGCCCUGGGCUCAACCUGGGAAUUGCAUUCGAGACUGCGUAGCUAGGGUACGGUAGAGGGAAGCGGAAUUUCCGGUGUAGCGGUGAAAUGCGUAGAUAUCGGGAGGAACACCAGUGGCGAAGGCGGCUUUCUGGUCUGCUCUUGACGCUGAGGCGCGAAAGCUAGGGUAGCAA
rnacentral:rRNA from 1 species